GAUGGUAUAUCUUGGUGGUUCAGUGCGUGCUUAGCAUGCAUGAGAUCCUGGGUUCAAUCCCGAGUACCUCCA
rnacentral:tRNA from 1 species